rnacentral:rRNA from 1 species
AGGGGCAUCGGGAGGGAAGCUUGCUUUCCUUGCCGGCGACCGGCGCACGGGUGAGUAACACGUAUGCAACCUGCCCUCUUCAGGGGGACAACCUUCCGAAAGGGAGGCUAAUCCCGUGUAUAUCGGUUUCGGGCAUCCGAGAUCGAGGAAAGAUUCAUCGGAAGAGGAUGGGCAUGCGGCGCAUUAGCUAGACGGCGGGGUAACGGCCCACCGUGGCGACGAUGCGUAGGGGUUCUGAGAGGAAGGUCCCCCACACUGGUACUGAGACACGGACCAGACUCCUACGGGAGGCAGCAGUGAGGAAUAUUGGUCAAUGGGAGAGAUCCUGAACCAGCCAAGCCGCGUGAGGGAAGACGGCCCUAUGGGUUGUAAACCUCUUUUGUCGGAGAACAAAACCCGGGACGAGUCCCGGACUGCGUGUAUCCGAAGAAAAAGCAUCGGCUAACUCCGUGCCAGCAGCCGCGGUAAUACGGAGGAUGCGAGCGUUAUCCGGAUUUAUUGGGUUUAAAGGGUGCGUAGGCGGUCCGUUAAGUCAGCGGUAAAAUUGCGGGGCUCAACCCCGUCGAGCCGUUGAAACUGGCAGACUUGAGUUGGCGAGAAGUACGCGGAAUGCGCGGUGUAGCGGUGAAAUGCAUAGAUAUCGCGAGGAACUCCGAUUGCGAAGGCAGCGUACCGGCGCCAGACUGACGCUGAGGCACGAAAGCGUGGGG